GAAGGGAUUAACGCUGGGGGCAGGGCGUCUUUGGAGACGCUGUGGACGAAUUUUCGAGAGGGCAUUCCUGCAUUCCAGGUGGGGAAACGGUGUGAGCGAAGGCGUGGAGGUGAGGAGCCCUAGUGGGGCUUUAUCCUAAAGGUGCUGGAGCUGCCGGGCCUGCCCUGACUACCACAGCGCCUGCCCCGCCUCGCACCAGGGCCUACUGGCCACUCCGUGGUACCUGUCCACAGCCUGUGUUGACUGACAAUCGCUGGGCCCGAUCUGGGGGCGGGAGCACUGAGGGGAUCAGAUGUACCCCCAAGGGAGUGUGCCAGGUGGUGGACACUGUGAGAACGCCAGGGAAGUACCCGCAUGGAGAAGGUGAGAUUGUGGGGAAAGGGAGGGCCCUGUGGCCUGGUGAUCAGGCAUUUGGACGCCAUCCCAAGGACAAUGUGGCGCCAAAGUUUUGAUGCCAGACUUGUUCAGACGAAGGCUUUAGAGAGUACUCAGGUGUCCACGGGGGUGGGUGGUAGAACUUGGUAGGGGUGGGCCUUGUGUCCAACCAGAGGCCCUGGGCUGGAGAGGUAGGGCAGAGGAGGACCUGAGGAGGGCAGAUCUAGUGGGAACCAGGAGGAAGAGGGACUGUUGGUCACCUGUUUCCCAAAGAGUAGGUCACAGGCCUGCUCUCCCAGAAACUCCACCUACUUCCCUCUGCCCUCUGUCCUCUGGGGCUCUGGGGAAUCCCCUUCCACAGGACUUCAUCCCCUCCUGAUUUUGCCUUUGUCCACAUCUUGCCAAGUGACCCUUUAUAAAAGUCAUUUUUUCUAUUUUUGCCUUUCUUCUGCCAGGACCUGGCCUUCCUCCAAGGGGAGGGGGAGGCAGGGAUGAUGCCCCCAGUUCUUCCUGGGCCUCCAGAGCCAGCUGUGUGGAGGUACUGGGCUGAGGUACCGGGGCCAGGGGAGCAGGUGUGGAGUCAGCAGUGGGGCCUUGGACAGGAGCUGGAGGCCUGAGUGGGCCAGUGGCAUUUGGUCUCUCCAGCCAGGGAGCAGUGUUAGUACUGCCCAAGCACCGUGAUGCUGGAAGCCCACAGGAAUGGAUCGUGGCUCUCUUGGGUGUACACCGAGAACCCACUGGGAGACCAGGAAAGGAAAUGAGGGAGGGGGUGAGGCUCCAGUUCACCUAAGUUGGUCCAGACCUUACAUGCAACCCCAGUAAAAUUAGCUUCAGACAGUUUUAUAAAUACACAAAAAUUUGCAGUGGCACAUGCCUGUAAUCCCAGCAGUUUGAGAGGCUGAGGCAAGUUCAAAGCCAGCCUCAGCAACAGCGAGGGACUGAGCAACUCAGUGAGACCCUGUCUCUAAAUAAAAUACAAAGUAGGGCUGGGGAUGUGGGUCAUGGUCAGUGCCCCUGAGUUCAAUCCCCUGUAUCUUCCCCAAAAUUUUAAAAAAAAUGUAAACAAAAAUUCUAAACUUCAUGAAGAAAUAAAGAUGCAAAGAUGACUGGUCUUGAAAGGACUGGAGUAGAGUUUCUCCAAAGAAGAUACACAAACCACCAAUAAGCACAUGGAAAUAAUCUGACACCACUAAUCAUUAGGGAAAUGCAAAUCAAAACUACAAGGAGAAGGGCUG
rnacentral:lncRNA from 1 species